rnacentral:lncRNA from 1 species
AUCGUCCAACGAUCACAGUUAAUUUCAAAACUCAACUUUCUCUUGCUUCAACGCUCAACCCAACUCAAACCCUCAAACUCAAAAUGAUGUCAAAAGUUGUUAUCCUCUUCGCCCUCUUCGCCUGUGCUUUAGCCGGUGCCGUCUACAGCCCAGCUUACGCUACCUACAGCCCAUACGCCAGCUACGCUUACACUCCAAGCUACACUCCAGCCUACACCGCUUCCUACAACCCAGGUUACUACGGCAGCUACUACGGAUCCUAUGCUCCAGCCUGGAACUACGGAUCUUACUAUGGAACUCCAGCUUAUGGCUAUGGAUAUGCUUACUCUCCAUACACUUCUUACUCAACCAUCCUUAAGAAGUAAACUGUCCAACUGUUUCCUCAACCGGCCUCAAUCAAUGGGAUUUUCAUGUUAAUCCUUGCGAUUUCCCUUCUGAUCGAUCUCUUCUUUUGUUCCAACUUAUAAACUCACUACAUUCGCCACGCACAAAACGGUUUGUUCAUUUUUCUCGUCAGACAGUUUAGUUUUCUUUACACACAAAACAAAUCACUUGUUAGUUCAAAACGAAAACAAAAACAAAACAAAAAUGUUGACAUUAUUUGGCAGAACUAUUUUUAUUCUUCGUCUCGAAAACAACAUCUUCGAAUUGUAAUGUCGUUCUAACAGUUUG